rnacentral:rRNA from 1 species
UACGUAGGCAGCGAGCGUUGUUCGGAGUUACUGGGCGUAAAGAGUGCGUUAGGCGGUGCUCCAAGUCUGGUGUGAAAUCUCCCGGCUUAACCGGGAGGGUGCGCCGGAAACUGGGGUGCUGGAGUGUGGGAGAGGUAAGCGGAAUUCCCGGUGUAGCGGUGAAAUGCGUAGAGUAUCGGGAGGAACACCUGCGGUGUAGACGGCUUACUGGACCAUAACUGACGCUGAGGCACGAAAGCGUGGGUAGCAAACAGG